rnacentral:rRNA from 1 species
UGACCUCGGAUCAGGUAGGGAUACCCGCUGAACUUUAA